rnacentral:rRNA from 1 species
GUCAACGAUGCUUAUGUAGCUAUAUGUAAGUGUAGUGGCGCACGGGUGAGUAACACGUAUGCAAUCUGCCUUUUGUCCGGGGAUAACACUUCCAACGAGGUGCUAAUACCCGAUGAUGCAGCGGCACCGCAUGGUGACAGUUGUUAAAGUUUCGACGACAGAAGAGGAGCAUGCGUCUGAUUAGUUAGUUGGUGAGGUAACGGCUCACCAAGGCAGCGAUCAGUAGCUGGUCUGAGAGGAUGAUCAGCCACACUGGGACUGAGACACGGCCCAGACUCCUACGGGAGGCAGCAGUGAGGAAUAUUGCGCAAUGGACGAAAGUCUGACGCAGCAACGCCGCGUGUGGGAUGAAGGCCUUUUAGGUCGUAAACCACUGUAGCAGGGGAAAAACAUCCCAUUAGAUGGGUUUGAUGGUACCCUGAAAGUAAGCCUCGGCUAACUACGUGCCAGCAGCCGCGGUAAUACGUAGGAGGCGAGCGUUGUCCGGAUUUACUGGGUGUAAAGGGUCCGCAGGCGGGCAUCUAAGUCGGUGGUGAAAUCCUUCAGCUUAACUGAGGAACUGCCUCCGAUACUGGGUGUCUUGAAUAUAGGAGAGGGCAAUGGAAUUCCAGGUGUAGCGGUGAAAUGCUUAGAUAUCUGGAAGAACACCGGUUGCGAAGGCUGUUGCCUGGCCUAUUAUUGACGCUCAUGGACGAAAGCGUGGGGAUCAAACAGGAUUAGAUACCCUGGUAGUCC